AUCUGAGAAAACCAAACAACAGGAAAGAACAAAGAAAGCAAAAGGCACUUAAUUCAUGGUCUGAAGUUAUUGGGCAAGUGCAAAAAAAGUGAAGAUCUUGGUAAUGAGCCUGCAGUAGAAGCAAUGAAAAUGCUCAGAAUGGCGUUCCGG